AUGAUUGGUGGAAUUAAUUAAACUUUUCACAGAAUGGACGCAUAAAUUUAUUAAGAGGACUAUUUGCACUGACCUAUUUACAGCUCAGGAAGGAAUGGGGAUUUUUGAAUUACGCAAGGUAGCCACAAAACCGGUGUUACGAUGAACAUGCAAUUCAUGCAUAACCCAUUUAUGUUAAUUAAUCAGAUGACUUGGACAUAGUAUAAAUAGAGAAAGAAAACCAGAAAUUUGUUAUAAAUCGUCGAAGAUGAAGCUGAUACACAUUGCAUUAAUUGCUUGUAUUCUUUUUUCAAGUCUUCAAAUGCAUUCAUCACAACCGCUGUUACCAAAGGACUUAAAGAAUCGGGAGAACUUCCGGUGCCCUGAUAUAAACAGUCCCUAUUGUACCCUGGACGGGGCCAAGAGAUAUAAGAACGCCUGCGAAGCCUGGAAAGCGUACGAAGAAAAGGUCAAGCCCUGCACGUAGCACAAAAAGGUUACGAUGAACCAAAAGAUCAUAAAGGACAUCAUUUUGAUGGAUCUCACACUAGAAGUUAGCCAACCCAUGAAAAUCCAGAUUCUGAUAUUGUAUUUUAUACGCUUGUUUUAGUAUUUUGUCUUUUGUUAUAUUUAUACACCUAUUUAUUUAUUUUUAUCAAAUUUGUUAAUAAAUGGAAAAUAAAUAUUUUUCCAAAUGC